AGAGCAUGAUACUGGCUCAGAUCGAACGCUUGCAGCGUGCUUUAUACAUGCAAGUCGAGCGAGAACUCCCGCUUCGGCGGGAUAGUAAAGCGGCGCAAGGGUGAGUAACGCUUGGGUAACCUACCUCUCGGAACGGGAUAACAGCGGCCGUUUAUAGCGGCCCUUCGGCGAAAGUGCUGCUAAUACCGUAUGCAGACGAUUGGACACGUUCUUUUCGUAAGCACGUAGUCCGGUUGUUUAAAGGUGCAGGGACUUCGGUUUCUGUUUCCGCCGGGAGAGGGGCCUGAGUCCUAUUAGCUUGUUGGUGAGGUAACGGCUCACCAAGGCAUAUGGGUAGCCGGCGUGAGAGCGUGGCCGGUCACACUGGGACUGAGACACUGCCCAGAGCCCCACGGGGUGCUGCAGUAGGGAAUCUUCCGCAAUGGGCGAAAGCCUGACGGAGCGACGCUGCGUGGAGGAAGAAGGCCUUCGGGUUGUAAACUCCUGUCAGAGGGUAUGAAAAUCGCCGGUUUAUCCCGGCGGUUGACGCAAACCUCAGAGGAAGUCAUGGCUAACUUCGUGCCAGCAGCCGCGGUAAUACGAAGAUGGCUAGCGUUGAUCGGAAUUACUGGGCGUAAAGAGCAUGUAGGCGGUCAGAUAAGUUGGGGGUGGAAUCCUGCGGCUUAACCGUAGAAUUGCCUCCAAAACUGUCUGGCUGGAGGGCGACAGAGGAGAGUGGAACUCCUGGUGGAGCGGUGAAAUGCGUUGAUAUCAGGAGGAACGCCAACGGCGAAAGCAGCUCUCUGGGUCGAUCCUGACGCUGAGAUGCGAAAGCCAGGGUAGCGAACGGGAUUAGAUACCCCGGUAGUCCUGGCCGUAAACGAUGGGCACUUGGCAUUGGGGUUUUUACCUCAGUGCCGGAGCUAACGCGUUAAGUGCCCCGCCUGGGUAGUACGGCCGCAAGG
rnacentral:rRNA from 1 species